rnacentral:rRNA from 1 species
GACAGAGGGUGCAAACGUUGUUCGGAAUUACUGGGCGUAAAGCGUGUGUAGGCGGCUUUGCAAGUCGGAUGUGAAAGCCCCGGGCUCAACCCGGGAAGUGCACUCGAAACUGCAAGGCUGGAGUACUGGAGAGGAUGGUAGAAUGCUCGGUGUAGAGGUGAAAUUCGUAGAUAUCGAGAAGAACACCGGUGGCGAAGGCGGCCAUCUGGACAGAUACUGACGCUGAGACGCGAAAGCGUGGGGAGCAAACAGG